UACGAAGGGGGCUAGCGUUGUUCGGAUUUACUGGGCGUAAAGCGCACGUAGGCGGGUUGUUAAGUCAGGGGUGAAAUCCUGGAGCUCAACUCCAGAACUGCCUUUGAUACUGGCAACCUAGAGGCUGGAAGAGGUUAGUGGAAUUCCCAGUGUAGAGGUGAAAUUCGUAGAUAUUCGGAAGAACACCAGUGGCGAAGGCGACUCACUGGCCCGAUACUGACGCUGAGGCGCGAAAGCGUGGGGAGCAAACAGG
rnacentral:rRNA from 1 species